CAGCCUUCUCGGAUGUCUUUUUGAAUCAAUGUCUUCUGGCACUGUGUGGACUUGGCGAGACACCAACCUGAGCACAGUGAGACUCGGUAUCGCAGGCCGUCACAGACGUAGUCCCUGAAAACUGGGACAAACAGAAAACAAAGUAAGGAAAAAGCGAGCACGCAGAACAGAGCAGCUUGCUGCUUGAACUCAUCUGAGUGCAAACUCAGUGCUGCUGUAUCACUGCUUCGAUCAGAAGACAAAAGCAACCGCAGUUUCUAAUCCCCCACAGCUGCAACUGUUAACUGAGAUCAAAAUGAUGGAGACUGCCGUCUACUGGAUACUGAGUCAAUGAUGAAAGAUAGCAAAUUUGCCUACUCAGAGGGAAUCAUAGAAUGGCCUGGGUUGAAAAGGACCACAAUGAUCAUCGAGUUUCAACCCCCCUGCUAUGUGCAGGGUCGCCAACCACCAGACCAGGCUGCCCAGAGCCACAUCCAGCCUGGCCUUGAAUGCCUCCAGGGAUGGGGCAUCCACAACCUCCUUGGGCAACCUGUUCCAGUGUGUCACCACCCUCUGGGUCAAUACUGCAGAUUUCUUCCUUUUGCUGAAUGUUUUCCUGUGGCUAUACCAACAUUUCCAAGCUCUUCAGAUGAAGUCCAGUGCUGAUCCAUAAAAUUCCCAACCACAUAAAAAAGAAUAGGAUCUCGUUUCUGCAGAUUCCUGCAAGAGAGGAGCCAAGAGCUGUAACGUUCGUAGUGCCUGACAACAUUAAUCAUCGAUCCUAUUGCGAACUGCUUCUGGGUGGGAUGUUUCUGGGUUUGUAACUACAUAU
ensembl:lncRNA